rnacentral:rRNA from 1 species
UACGGGGGGUGCAAGCGUUAUCCGGAUUCACUGGGUUUAAAGGGUGCGUAGGCGGGUAAGUAAGUCCGUGGUGAAAUCUCUGAGCUUAACUCAGAAACUGCCGUGGAUACUAUUUGCCUUGAAUAUUGUGGAGGUGAGCGGAAUAUGUCAUGUAGCGGUGAAAUGCUUAGAUAUGACAUAGAACACCAAUUGCGAAGGCAGCAGGCUAAACGAACAUUGACGCUGAGGCACGAAAGCGUGGGGAUCAAACAGG